GCUCAGUAACACGUGGAUAACCUGCCCUUGGGUCUGGCAUAACCCCGGGAAACUGAGGAUAAUUCCGGAUAACGCAUAUAUGCUGGAAUGCUUUAUGCGUAAAAUGGAUUCGUCCGCCCAAGGAUGGGUCUGCGGCCUAUCAGGUAGUAGUGGGUGUAAUGUACCUACUAGCCUACAACGGGUACGGGUUGUGAGAGCAAGAGCCCGGAGAUGGAUUCUGAGACAUGAAUCCAGGCCCUACGGGGCGCAGCAGGCGCGAAAACUUUACAAUGCGGGAAACCGUGAUAAGGGGACACCGAGUGCUAGCAUCAUAUGCUGGCUGUCCAGGUGUGUAAACUACACCUGUUAGCAAGGGCCGGGCAAGACCGGUGCCAGCCGCCGCGGUAACACCGGCGGCCCGAGUGGUGAUCGUGAUUAUUGGGUCUAAAGGGUCCGUAGCCGGUUUGGUCAGUCCUCCGGGAAAUCUGAUAGCUCAACUAUUAGGCUUUCGGGGGAUACUGCCAGACUUGGAACCGGGAGAGGUAAGAGGUACUACAGGGGUAGGAGUGAAAUCUUGUAAUCCCUGUGGGACCACCUGUGGCGAAAGGCGUCUUACCAGAACGGGUUCGACGGUGAGGGACGAAAGCCGGGGGCACGAACCGGAUUAGAUACCCGGGUAGUCCCAGCCGUAAACGAUGCUCGCUAGGUGUCAGGCAUGCGCGACCGUGUCUGGUGCC
rnacentral:rRNA from 1 species